rnacentral:rRNA from 1 species
GACAGAGGUCCCGAGCGUUAGGCGGAAUCACUGGGCUUAAAAGCGUGUGUAGGCGGAUUUGUAAGUACCUUGUGAAAUCCCACGGCUUAACCGUGGAACUGCUUGGUAUACUGCUUAUCUUGGGCCAUCUAGGGGCGAGCGGAACAAACGGUGGAGCGGUGAAAUGCGUAGAUAUCGUUUGGAACGCCAAUGGUGAAAACAGCUCGCUGGGGAUGUGCCGACGCUGAGACACGAAAGCCAGGGGAGCGAACGGG